rnacentral:rRNA from 1 species
CAGUCGCCGCGGUAAUACGAAGGGGGCUAGCGUUGCUCGGAUUUACUGGGCGUAAAGGGCGCGUAGGCGGACAGUUUAGUUGGGGGUGAAAGCCCGGGGCUCAACCUCGGAACUGCCUUCAAUACUGGCUGUCUUGAGUACGGAAGAGGUGAGUGGAACUCCGAGUGUAGAGGUGAAAUUCGUAGAUAUUCGGAAGAACACUAGUGGCGAAGGCGACUCACUGGCCCGUUACUGACGCUGAGGCGCGAAAGCGUGGGGAGCAAACAGGAUUAGAUACCCCCGUAGUCCCUGUCUCUUAUAC